CACGUCAUUGCGGUGCGUUGUCAAAUUUUUCGCGUGCUUUUUUUAUAUGCCUAAUAAUUGUUGUGUUUCCUGAAAAUUUUUAAAAUGCCUCGGAGUAAAAAUAACGUUACUAGACCCCAACCAAUUGCAGAAAAUGUUGAAAAUGCCGUUAAAAAGGUGAUUGAAAAACGAUGUUCUAUCCAAAAAGCUGCCGAAGAGUUUAAGGUUUCAAAAUCUUCAAUAGGUCAUGAAGCUGAAUAAAGAAAACGAAACUACAACUGUCAUUUAUAAACCCAAUGAUGCUGUUAAGAGAGUCUUGAAUGAUGAAGAGGAAUAGCAAUUAGUCGAGUAUUUAUCAACAGCAUCCAAAUUUCAUUAUGGCAUACCUAAAGAGCAAUUCUUGAAACUAGCAUAUCAGUAUGCAAUAGCUUUGAAAAAAACGUGAGAAAACAAGAGUCUUAACCGAUACUCCUGAAAAACUGGAAUUGGAGCAGUUGGCUGCAUUA